rnacentral:rRNA from 1 species
AGGGAAUCUUCCGCAAUGGACGCAAGUCUGACGGAGCAACGCCGCGUGAGUGAUGAAGGUCUUCGGAUCGUAAAGCUCUGUUGUUAGUGAAGAACAAGUACCGUUCAAAUAGGCCGGUACCUUGACGGUAACUAACGAGAAAGCCACGGCUAACUACGUGCCAGCAGCCGCGGUAAUACGUAGGUGGCAAGCGUUGUCCGGAAUUAUUGGGCGUAAAGGGCGCGCAGGCGGCCGAUUAAGUCUGAUGUGAAAUCCCACGGCUUAACCGUGGAAGGUCAUUGGAAACUGAUUGGCUUGAGUGCAGAAGAGGAGAGUGGAAUUCCACGUGUAGCGGUGGAAUGCGUAGAUAUGUGGAGGAACACCAGUGGCGAAGGCGGCUCUCUGGUCUGCAACUGACGCUGAGGCGCGAAAGCGUGGAUAGCAAAC